UACGUAGGGUGCGAGCGUGGUCCGGAAUUACUGGGCGUAAAGAGCUCGUAGGUGGUUUGUCGCUUUGUUCGUGAAAUCUCACGGCUUAACUGUGAGCGUGCGGGCGAUACGGGCAGACUGGAGUACUGCAGGGGAGACUGGAAUUCCUGGUGUAGCGGUGGAAUGCGCAGAUAUCAGGAGGAACACCGGUGGCGAAGGCGGGUCUCUGGGCAGUAACUGACGCUGAGGAGCGAAAGCGUGGGGAGCGAACAGG
rnacentral:rRNA from 1 species